CCCACCAACAUUACUCUCUCUCUCUCUAAAUAAAAAAAGUACCAGCUCUGACUUCGUCCUUGGAGGAGGCCCGGCUAACUGGCUGUCGACCCUUCCCUUACCUUCUCUUUAGGGGCUGCUCUGUUAAGGCUACUUUUAUAGUGUUUUAGCUGUUUUUUUUCUUUUUUCUUCAGUCUCCAUUGUUGGAGUUUUAGUACCUUCUUAAGAUGAUUUUUUUGUUGGUGUUUAGGGGGCUGCUCUGCAUGUUGCAAUANNNNNNNNNNNNAUCAUCGGCUGGCAGUCAAUAUGGUACCGAGUUCUUCUUUCCGUCAAGGCGAGCAUGAAAGGCCUAUAGUUGCCAAGCCUAUUCCUGGUCCAUUCGGCAUUGGUCCUAGUCCCCGCUAUUUCCUAGUUUUGUUGCAAAUUUCCUCCAUUUUCCUCUGAGCUCGAAAGCAUGGGAGAAUUAUGAAAUGAGUGGGGUACUUAAGUGCUCCUUGUAAUGUUGUUUUCCUUUUUCCAUGCUUAGUUGAGUUUUGCAGAUCUCCUUUGAUGGUGGCAGUAAGUUGUUGAUGAAGAGUAGAUGAAGUCGGCUGAGAAUAAUGAUGGAAUCGGGCUACUAAGUCCUAGGGUUUCAUAUCUUUUAAGGUUUGAGUUUGGGUUAAAGUUUUGUAACACUAUUAUCUCUUGUGGGCUUAGGACUUGUGC
rnacentral:misc_RNA from 1 species